rnacentral:rRNA from 1 species
UACGUAGGUGGCAAGCGUUGUCCGGAUUUACUGGGCGUAAAGGGCGUGCAGGCGGUCUGUUAAGUCUAGGGUGAAAGCUCCCGGCUCAACUGGGAGAGGUCCUUGGAUACUGGCGGACUUGAGGGAUGCAGAGGAAAGUGGAAUUCCCGGUGUAGUGGUGAUAUGCGUAGAUAUCGGGAGGAACACCAGUGGCGAAGGCGGCUUUCUGGGCAUUACCCGACGCUGAGACGUGAAAGCGUGGGGAGCGAACCGG